rnacentral:rRNA from 1 species
GUUGUAUAGUCAAGUAAUUAAGUGCAUGUGGUGGAUGCCUUGGCAGUCAGAGGCGAUGAAAGACGUGAUAGCCUGCGAAAAGCUCCGGGGAGGCGGCAAAUAUCCUUUGAUCCGGAGAUGUCUGAAUGGGGGAACCCACCUACUUUAAGGUAGGUAUUGCAACAUGAAUACAUAGUGUUGCAAGGCGAACGAGGGGAAGUGAAACAUCUCAGUACCCUUAGGAAAAGAAAUCAAUUGAGAUUCCCUCAGUAGCGGCGAGCGAACGGGGAUCAGCCCAUUAAGUUAUGUGUGUUUUAGUGGAACGCUCUGGGAAGUGCGAACGUAGAGGGUGAUAUUCCCGUACACGAAAGGGCACACAUAAUGAUGACGAGUAGGGCGAGGCACGUGAAACCUUGUCUGAAUAUGGGGGGACCAUCCUCCAAGGCUAAAUACUCCUGACUGACCGAUAGUGAACCAGUACCGUGAGGGAAAGGCGAAAAGAACCCCUGUGAGGGGAGUGAAAUAGAUCCUGAAACCGCAUGCAUACAAGCAGUGGGAGCACCUUCGUGGUGUGACUGCGUACCUUUUGUAUAAUGGGUCAGCGACUUAUAUUCAGUAGCAAGGUUAACCGUAUAGGGGAGCCGUAGAGAAAUCGAGUCUUAAUAGGGCGUUUAGUUGCUGGGUAUAGACCCGAAACCAGGCGAUCUAUCCAUGAGCAGGUUGAAGGUUGGGUAACACUAACUGGAGGACCGAACCCACUGUCGUUGAAAAGCCAGGGGAUGACUUGUGGAUAGGGGUGAAAGGCUAAUCAAGCCUGGUGAUAGCUGGUUCUCCCCGAAAGCUAUUUAGGUAGCGCCUCGGACGAAUACCAUAGGGGGUAGAGCACUGUUUCGGCUAGGGGGUCAUCCCGACUUACCAAACCGAUGCAAACUCCGAAUACCUAUGAGUACUAUCCGGGAGACAGACUGCGGGUGCUAACGUCCGUAGUCAAGAGGAAAACAAUCCAGACCGCCAGCUAAGGCCCCAAAAUCAUAGUUAAGUGGGAAACGAUGUGGGAAGGCAUAGACAGCUAGGAGGUUGGCUUAGAAGCAGCCACCCUUUAAAGAAAGCGUAAUAGCUCACUAGUCGAGUCGGCCUGCGCGGAAGAUGUAACGGGGCUAAAACUAUGUGCCGAAGCUGCGGA